AGCGAACGCUGGCGGCAGGCCUAACACAUGCAAGUCGAGCGGGCACUUUCGGGUGUCAGCGGCGGACGGGUGAGUAACGCGUGGGAACGUGCCCUCUGGUUCGGAAUAACUUAGGGAUACUUGAGCUAAUACCGGAAACGCCCAUUUGGGGAAAGGCCUGCUGCCGGAGGAUGGGCCCGCGUCUGAUUAGCUAGUGGGUGGGGUAACGGCUCACCAAGGCGACGAUCAGUAGCUGGUCUGAGAGGAUGAUCAGCCACACUGGGACUGAGACACGGCCCAGACUCCUACGGGAGGCAGCAGUGGGGAAUAUUGGACAAUGGGCGCAAGCCUGAUCCAGCCAUGCCGCGUGAGUGAUGAAGGCCUUAGGGUUGUAAAGCUCUUUUAUCCGUGACGAUAAUGACGGUACCGGAGGAAUAAGCCCCGGCUAACUUCGUG
rnacentral:rRNA from 1 species